CCCUUAGAUGUCCUGGGCCGCACGCGCGCUACACUGACAUGUUCAACAAGUUUCUCCUAGUUCGACAGGACUGGGAAAUCUUUGAACGCAUGUCGUGAUAGGGAUAGAUCAUUGCAAUUAUUGAUCUUGAACGAGGAAUUCCUAGUAAACGCGAGUCAUCAGCUCGCAUUGAUUACGUCCCUGCCCUUUGUACACACCGCCAGUCGCACCUACCGAUUGAAUGUUUCGGUGAAGAUUCCGGAUAGGACUGAUUUGAUUUAUUUCAUUUCUGACCUAAAAGCUAUCUAAACCUCAACAUUUAGAGGAAGGUGAAGUCGUAACA
rnacentral:rRNA from 1 species